rnacentral:rRNA from 1 species
UACGGAGGGGGCAAGCGUUGUUCGGAAUUACUGGGCGUAAAGGGCUCGUAGGCGGCCAACUAAGUCAGACGUGAAAUCCCUCAGCUUAACUGGGGAACUGCGUCUGAUACUGGAUGGCUUGAGUUUGGGAGAGGGACGCGGAAUUCCAGGUGUAGCGGUGAAAUGCGUAGAUAUCUGGAGGAACACCGGUGGCGAAGGCGGCGUCCUGGACCAUGACUGACACUGAAAAGCGAAAGCCAGGGGAGCAAACGGG